rnacentral:rRNA from 1 species
GACGAACGCUGGCGGCGUGCCUAAUACAUGCAAGUCGAGCGAAUCUUUGGGAGCUUGCUCCCAAAGAUUAGCGGCGGACGGGUGAGUAACACGUGGGCAACCUGCCUAUAAGACUGGGAUAACUUCGGGAAACCGGAGCUAAUACCGGAUAAUCCUUUUCCUCUCAUGAGGGGAAGCUGAAAGACGGUUUCGGCUGUCACUUAUAGAUGGGCCCGCGGCGCAUUAGCUAGUUGGNGAGGUAACGGCUCACCAAGGCGACGAUGCGUAGCCGACCUGAGAGGGUGAUCGGCCACACUGGGACUGAGACACGGCCCAGACUCCUACGGGAGGCAGCAGUAGGGAAUCUUCCGCAAUGGACGAAAGUCUGACGGAGCAACGCCGCGU